UCUCCAUUCCCAGGUUGCUCACAAUGGCCUUAUUCUGGAAAUGGACCACCCAACAUCGGGAAGGAUAGCAGUGCCAGGCCCUGCUGUGCGCUUCAGUAGUUUUGAGUCCCGCAGCCCGGCUCCUCCCCCUGUGAUCGGCCAGCACACGGUCCAGGUUCUCCGAGACACCCUGGGGUACGGCGAUGACGUCAUCGCCCGACUGCUGGCCUCACGGGCCGUCACUCAGCACACGGUGCAGUGAGAGGGAGAA